UGCAUGGUAGUCAAGUGGGUAAAGCGCAUAUAGCUAUUUAUUUGGUAUCAAACGUCGAUGGUUCGAUUCCAUCCUAGAGCAA